UGAAACACGCAUGAGAAUUGCAGACGAUUUUUUUUUGCACAGCCCUACUCUCCUACGCUUUCACACUCACACACACACACGCGCGCACACACACACACUCUCACUCUCUGUUUGUCACUCUUUCAAUUUGUUUUGCUUAUUUCUAUUUGCAUUCUUCAUUCUUUCAAUAUGGCAUCUUCAGGUUUUGACCAGUUAUGUCAGGAAGCUGCAACUAUUUCAAAGCAUCUUGAAAUGAAAGCUGACAAUGCUGAACUUGAAGCAGCUACCAGAGAGGCUGAAGAAAUUCUACAAAUGUUCAAUCCUCCACUGCUGAAAAAGAAGACCAAACGAGUGAUUUCCUGGACUCAACAGACACAGUGAACUUUGCACUGCAUUUCAAAGCCAGCUUCUCAGCCGCAACACUGAGAACCAGAGUUGAAGUCAAUGUACUGCUGAGAAAGUGCAAGAUCUAUUUAACCAAAAAUAUAAGGAUGCCGGAGGUACUGGAAGGCUCCCCUACCAAUCCCUGGUAAAUCAAGGCAUGACAGUUAAAGUUGCAGGACUGCCCAACAGCCUCAAAAAGCCAUCCUAUUAUGGAAGGAACCAGUUGGAGGCCAUUUUGCAAGCUGCUGAGGAGAUUUUAUUUGAAAUCAAUGCAGCACAAUGCAACUCCACUGACAAUGCAGAAGGAAUGUUAGAAGCGAUGGACGCAGAAGAGCUGGAAGAACAGUCCUCAGAAACAGCCACCGCUGUAGCUAUCGUGAUGACUGCAGAUUAAGAUGGAGGCCAUUUGUGCUGUGUCUGCCGCUUCCUUUUCGAUGACAGGAAGAAGAAUGCUUCAGAGAAGUGGCGUUCAUGGUCACAGUGCACAGGGUGCCAAUCAUGGUCACACACUGCAUGUCAAGACACCAUACAAACAACCUGUAGCGAUGCAUCAGUGAUAGAAAACAUGCUAGUUACACAAAAUGUUUUAUGUUUUAACUUUGAGUUGUUUUUAUUUUGUUCAUGACCCCAUCCCUACAAACACACACACAUAUUUUUUUUUUAUGUAUUAGGUGCAAUUUAAUAUUUUUCAUGCAAAUGUAUUGUAAUGAUUACACUUAUAAGAAUAAAACAGAUUUUAAAUUCACUCUAA